CUCACUCAACAAUCAAUACUCAUAAGACACUCUCAAUCUCCUCUAGUCCUAUAGAGUAUUCUCAACCCAAACAAACACAAACCCAAACUCUUGUGCACCUUUUCAACACAACCAAACACAUACCCAUAUGUUCCCAUACAUCAUACCUAUGUGGACCCUCUCAAUCUCCUCUAGUCCACUCACAAACAAACAUACACACCCAUAAGACGUAGAGCCUCAAUACUCCUAUGGGGUGUCUAUCCCAUAAAACCCUACAACUC
rnacentral:lncRNA from 1 species